rnacentral:rRNA from 1 species
UACGGAGGGUGCGAGUGUUGUUCGGAAUUACUGGGCGUAAAGGGCGCGCAGGCGGCUUGGCAAGUCGAGUGUGAAAUCCCUUGGCUUAACUAAGGAAUGGCGCUCGAAACUACCUCGCUAGAGGGCGGGAGAGGGAAGUGGAACUCUCGGUGUAGGGGUGAAAUGCGCAGAUAUCGGGAGGAACACCGAUGGCGAAGGCAGCUCGCUGGGACGUUACUGACGCUGAGACGCGAAGGCGUGGGGAGCAAACAGG